rnacentral:snoRNA from 1 species
CCUACAAUGAAGAGUAACUUGCUCGACUUUCGUUCUUCUGAAAUUGCUGAAGCAAAUUAUUGCAUCUGAGAAGG